UGAACCAGACCAGGAUAGCUAGAGAAGGCAUUCCAAAAUCACCUGUAGUCGGAGUUCAGACUCCCACGCAGCUGUGCUGUUAGCGGUGCUGACUUGAGUUCAGUUAGGCCCAAACUUCCACCGGAUGUUGUAGAACUUUGCCGAAGUGCGGUGUGCAGACCAGCAAGCAGCAUCGGCAUCACUUGGGAGCUUAUUACAAUUUGGAACUUCAGGUCCUCAGACCUACAGAUACAGAAUUUGCAUUUUAACAAGAUCCCUAGAUGAUUUCUGCGCAUACCAUGCAUAUUAAAGUUUGAGAAAUACCACUCCACCAGCAGUCUAGUCAAGACUGAAUGAAGCUGAUGUCAGUGGGAGAACAUGAUUUUGAGGCCUACUGGGGUUGACGUGCCUGUAUUCAUGCAAGCCUUAAGACUGGUGUUCGAUGUCAAAUCUGCAUUACUCCAAAGGCAAUAUUCUGAGAACUUCAUGUAACAAUUCGCUUUAUCCUUUCGACAAAAGCAGAAGCACAUCUUUCUGAAUAAAAGAGUGAGUGGAUUAAGGAGUCAAUGAAUGUAAAACAUGCCACACUGCACUGCUUUUCAAAAUCUCGGUUCUCCACCACACCAUUAUGCUGAAGCACAGUUUGGCAAAGAGUGAAAACUGUAUGAUUUCAGGGAUGCUGGGCCUGAGCGGAGAGGAGAGUGGAGAAGAGUAUUGGAGCACGCUCUGGAAGGAUGGAGGCAAGGUUCCAGCAAAGCAAAGCAUUUGUGCUACAUGUUCUGGUGCCAGCCUGCUUGAGAUCUGACUAGCCAGUGUCAGCCUACUUAAGAUCUGACUAUCCGAGUGAGCUCAGGAAAACCGACCACGCUGGCCCUUUGAGUGAUGGGUCCAAGGGCACAGGUGGAAUAGUGAUGGCUGCCACCAGAGGAAUGAGCAGACACCUGCCCUUGCCACCGCCACCCACCUGGACUCAAGGCAACUCCGUGAUGGACCAGAUAACAUUCAUUUAUUGACUGACUUACUCCAGGAAUUGGCUCAGUUAUGAGGUCAAGGAGUACUGAGAUCUGCCCUCUGCACUUUGAGGACCAGGAGGACCAGGAGUGGGAUCGCAGCUGUGCUCCAAAGCAUCAGGGCCAGG